rnacentral:rRNA from 1 species
CUUUUCCCUGAGAAGAAGAUCUGACGGUAUCAGAGGAAUCACCAUCGGCUAACUUCGUGCCAGCAGCCGCGGUAAUACGAGGGAUGCAAGCGUUAUCCGGAAUUAUUGGGCGUAAAGCGUCCGCAGGUGGCUCUGUAAGUCUGUCGUUAAAGAAUGGGGCUCAACCCCAUACAGGCGAUGGAAACUACAAGGCUAGAGUUUGGUAGGGGUCACGG